rnacentral:rRNA from 1 species
CAAGGCUUGACAUAUAGGGGAAAAACGUGGAAACACGUUCCCCGCAAGGUCUCUAUACAGGUGGUGCAUGGUUGUCGUCAGCUCGUGUCGUGAGAUGUUGGGUUAAGUCCCGCAACGAGCACAACCCUCGUCCUAUGUUGCCAGCACGUUAUGGUGGGAACUCAUGGGAUACUGCCGGGGUCAACUCGGAGGAAGGUGGGGAUGACGUCAAAUCAUCAUGCCCCUUAUGUCUUGGGCUUCACGCAUGCUACAAUGGCCGGUACAGAGGGCUGCAAUACCGCAAGGUGGAGCGAAUCCCAAAAAGCCGGUCUCAGUUCGGAUUGAGGUCUGCAACUCGACCUCAUGAAGUCGGAGUCGCUAGUAAUCGUAGAUCAGCAACGCUACGGUGAAUACGUUCCC